GGCGUGGUGGCACAUGCUUGUAGUCCCAGCUACUCAGGAGGCUAAGGCAGGAGGAUUGCUUGAGUCAGGGAGGUUGAGACUGCAAUGAGCUGUGUUCACACCACUGCACUGCGGCCUGGGUGACAAAGUGAGACCCUGUCACACACACAGAAAAAGAGAAUGUGGGCUUCAAAGUUGAAUUCAAGUAAGUCAGGGUUCUUCCACUUGUAAUGAACAACUUCCUUAACCUCAUUGUCUCAGGUUCCUCCCCUGAGAAAUGCGAGGAGAACGGCGCCUGCUGGUGGCGGGGGCUUGCCGAUGAAAUGAGCCAUUCACCCAUGCCUCUCAGCACAGGGCCUGCCCUGGGCCGCAUACUGUGCAUUGUCAGCUGCUGUCGGAGCUGGGCUAGUGGCCGCCUUGAGAGCCAGCAGUCCACGGGGGUUGGCGAGCUUCUGGGAGGAAAGGGUGGAACGUGACUGUCAGGUACAGAGCUACAGAGAACCCCAGCAUGAAGGAGUAGGUGGCAGGGGAGAAGGACUCAACAGAGAUGGAGAAAGACUAAGCCCAAAGGUGAUCAACAACAAGAGUGAAGGAGGAAGUGGUCAGCUGUGGCUGGGGCAAAACAAGCCCAGAGCUCACUCCUCUACUUGAAAAAGAAAGAGAUGGAUUACGGUGCCGAGGCAACAGAUCCCCUGUCCCGGAUGUUGAGGAUCCCGCAACCGAGGAGCCUGGGGAGAGCUUUUGUGACAAGGUCAUGAGAUGGUUCCAGGCCAUGCUGCAGCGGCUGCAGACCUGGUGGCACGGGGUUCUGGCCUGGGUGAAGGAGAAGGUGGUGGCCCUGGUCC
rnacentral:lncRNA from 10 species